rnacentral:rRNA from 1 species
CACUAUGCCUAGCCAUAAACAUUGAUAGUAACCUACACCCACUAUCCGCCCGGGAACUACGAGCAUCAGCUUAAAACCCAAAGGACUUGGCGGUGCUUUAGAUCCACCUAGAGGAGCCUGUUCUAGAACCGAUUACCCCCGUUCAACCUCACCUUUCCUUGUCCCUCCCGCCUAUAUACCACCGUCGUCAGCUUACCCUGUGAAGGACUUAUAGUAAGCAAGAUUGGCAUAGCCCAAAACGUCAGGUCGAGGUGUAGCGUAUGGAAAGGGAAGAAAUGGGCUACAUUCCCUAACACAGGGAACCACGAACGAUACGCUGAAACACGUAUCUGAAGGAGGAUUUAGCAGUAAGCAGAAAAUAGAGCGUUCCGCUGAAACCGGCCCUGAAGCGCGCACACACCGCCCGUCACUCUCCCCGAGCUCAUCAAACUCAAAUAUUUAAAACCUGAAAACUGCAAAGGGGAGGCAAGUCGUAA